AGAGUUUGAUCCUGGCUCAGGAUGAACGCUGGCGGCGUGCCUAAUACAUGCAAGUCGAGCGAACGGACGAGAAGCUUGCUUCUCUGAUGUUAGCGGCGGACGGGUGAGUAACACGUGGAUAACCUACCUAUAAGACUGGGAUAACUUCGGGAAACCGGAGCUAAUACCGGAUAAUAUUUUGAACCGCAUGGUUCAAAAGUGAAAGACGGUCUUGCUGUCACUUAUAGAUGGAUCCGCGCUGCAUUAGCUAGUUGGUAAGGUAACGGCUUACCAAGGCAACGAUGCAUAGCCGACCUGAGAGGGUGAUCGGCCACACUGGAACUGAGACACGGUCCAGACUCCUACGGGAGGCAGCAGUAGGGAAUCUUCCGCAAUGGGCGAAAGCCUGACGGAGCAACGCCGCGUGAGUGAUGAAGGUCUUCGGAUCGUAAAACUCUGUUAUUAGGGAAGAACAUAUGUGUAAGUAACUGUGCACAUCUUGACGGUACCUAAUCAGAAAGCCACGGCUAACUACGUGCCAGCAGCCGCGGUAAUACGUAGGUGGCAAGCGUUAUCCGGAAUUAUUGGGCGUAAAGCGCGCGUAGGCGGUUUUUUAAGUCUGAUGUGAAAGCCCACGGCUCAACCGUGGAGGGUCAUUGGAAACUGGAAAACUUGAGUGCAGAAGAGGAAAGUGGAAUUCCAUGUGUAGCGGUGAAAUGCGCAGAGAUAUGGAGGAACACCAGUGGCGAAGGCGACUUUCUGGUCUGUAACUGACGCUGAUGUGCGAAAGCGUGGGGAUCAAACAGGAUUAGAUACCCUGGUAGUCCACGCCGUAAACGAUGAGUGCUAAGUGUUAGGGGGUUUCCGCCCCUUAGUGCUGCAGCUAACGCAUUAAGCACUCCGCCUGGGGAGUACGACCGCAAGGUUGAAACUCAAAGGAAUUGACGGGGACCCGCACAAGCGGUGGAGCAUGUGGUUUAAUUCGAAGCAACGCGAAGAACCUUACCAAAUCUUGACAUCCUUUGACAACUCUAGAGAUAGAGCCUUCCCCUUCGGGGGACAAAGUGACAGGUGGUGCAUGGUUGUCGUCAGCUCGUGUCGUGAGAUGUUGGGUUAAGUCCCGCAACGAGCGCAACCCUUAAGCUUAGUUGCCAUCAUUAAGUUGGGCACUCUAAGUUGACUGCCGGUGACAAACCGGAGGAAGGUGGGGAUGACGUCAAAUCAUCAUGCCCCUUAUGAUUUGGGCUACACACGUGCUACAAUGGACAAUACAAAGGGCAGCGAAACCGCGAGGUCAAGCAAAUCCCAUAAAGUUGUUCUCAGUUCGGAUUGUAGUCUGCAACUCGACUACAUGAAGCUGGAAUCGCUAGUAAUCGUAGAUCAGCAUGCUACGGUGAAUACGUUCCCAGGUCUUGUACACACCGCCCGUCACACCACGAGAGUUUGUAACACCCGAAGCCGGUGGAGUAACCUUUUAGGAGCUAGCCGUCGAAGGUGGGACAAAUGAUUGGGGUGAAGUCGUAACAAGGUAGCCGUAUCGGAAGGUGCGGCUGGAUCACCU
rnacentral:rRNA from 2 species